rnacentral:tRNA from 1 species
CCCAAAAUGGCAGAUAAAUGCCUAGACUUUAAGCGUCUAUUAUGGACUGAGUCCUUUUGGUG